rnacentral:rRNA from 1 species
GACGAACGCUGGCGGCGAGCUUAACACAUGCAAGUCGAACGGAAAGGCCAGUGCUUGCACUGGUACUCGAGUGGCGAACGGGUGAGUAACACGUGGGUGAUCUGCCUUGCACUCUGGGAUAAGCUUGGGAAACUGGGUCUAAUACCGGAUAUGAACUGCCUUUAGUGUGGUGGUUGGAAAGUUUUUUCGGUGCAAGAUGAGCUCGCGGCCUAUCAGCUUGUUGGUGGGGUAAUGGCCUACCAAGGCGUCGACGGGUAGCCGGCCUGAGAGGGUGUACGGCCACAUUGGGACUGAGAUACGGCCCAGACUCCUACGGGAGGCAGCAGUGGGGAAUAUUGCACAAUGGGCGGAAGCCUGAUGCAGCGACGCCGCGUGGGGGAUGACGGCCUUCGGGUUGUAAACUCCUUUCGACAGGGACGAAGCGUAAGUGACGGUACCUGUAUAAGAAGCACCGGCUAACUACGUG